UGUGAACUCGAAGAGUAGGGCGGGACACGUGGUAUCCUGUCUGAAUAUGGGGGGACCAUCCUCCAAGGCUAAAUACUCCUGACUGACCGAUAGUGAACCAGUACCGUGAGGGAAAGGCGAAAAGAACCCCGGCGAGGGGAGUGAAAAAGAACCUGAAACCGUGUACGUACAAGCAGUGGGAGCCUCUUUAUGGGGUGACUGCGUACCUUUUGUAUAAUGGGUCAGCGACUUAUAUUCUGUAGCAAGGUUAACCGUAUAGGGGAGCCGAAGGGAAACCGAGUCUUAACUGGGCGUUAAGUUGCAGGGUAUAGACCCGAAACCCGGUGAUCUAGCCAUGGGCAGGUUGAAGGUUGGGUAACACUAACUGGAGGACCGAACCGACUAAUGUUGAAAAAUUAGCGGAUGACCUGUGGCUGGGGGUGAAAGGCCAAUCAAACCGGGAGAUAGCUGGUUCUCCCCGAAAGCUAUUUAGGUAGCGCCUCGUGAACUCAUCUUCGGGGGUAGAGCACUGUUUCGGCUAGGGGGCCAUCCCGGCUUACCAACCCGAUGCAAACUACGAAUACCGAAGAAUGUUAUCACGGGAGACACACGGCGGGUGCUAACGUCCGUCGUGAAGAGGGAAACAACCCAGACCGCCAGCUAAGGUCCCAAAGUCAUGGUUAAGUGGGAAACGAUGUGGGAAGGCACAGACAGCCAGGAUGUUGGCUUAGAAGCAGCCAUCAUUUAAAGAAAGCGUAAUAGCUCACUGGUCGAGUCGGCCUGCGCGGAAGAUGUAACGGGGCUAAACCAUGCACCGAAGCUGCGGCAGCGACACU
rnacentral:rRNA from 1 species